rnacentral:lncRNA from 1 species
UGCGUCUGUGGAGUGAAUAUUCUUUCCUCUAAACCACUCAGAGUUUUCAGGGGAAGUCCUCGGAGAAUCAGUAACCUCUAAACAUAUUACAUCUUGACUAUGCACCUGUUUCGUACUUGUUAGCAGGAAAUGUGCACUAAAUUACAGGAACGCACAGCCAGGAAAGAGGGGUCGUGGUCUGGGUGCAAGUGGCAGAUGUAAGGGCAACGUGGACAAAACCCAUGGAGGUCGCAAAAGACACAAGAAAACACACCCUUUGGUCUGGUUCAGAAGGAAGCAGGAAGGAACACACGGGGACCUUUGGGUGCUAUAGAAAGAGGAUGAGAGAGCUGGGACUGCACCCUAACAGACGGGAAACUCAUUGAACAACUCUCUUCCUUGAUUUCUCUUCUAUAAAAUAAUGAGGUUAAAUUGGAUGAUCUCUAAAGUCUGAAAUCACUACCUUUCCAUAAUUCAUGGUCCCUAAAUCAAAAGCAUCAGGCUUAACAAUCCGAAAGGAGGCCGGGAGGGAAUAUGACCAGAUUCAGUUCCCUUCCAGCAGAUCUUUAUUAUUAUUUUUUUCUUUAAUCUGUGAGUCCAUCUGAACAAGAUG